CACCGACGGGCCGACGGCAGUCCACCAUGCAGAGCGGCCUGGGCCCCUUCAUGGCCAGAAGGCCCUUUGACCCCCUCAGUUAAAAAUACCACCACCAUGCACCUCAGCGGUCGCAACUUCACACUCCAAGCUAAAAAUGGCCGCCGUUCCAAAACACCUGGUCUCCACUCGUCAGCGGCGGCGGACGAGGCUGCGGCUCGCCUUACGUCUGCCGCACGCUCCCAGCGGGACUCAUUACCGCUCAGGUGCCCGGCUCCUCACCCUGAGGGGACGGGAGGGGACGUGGGGCCCCUCCCUUUGAGGCUGGCCCCCCUGAAGCUGGCCCCCCUGCAGCUCCCCAAGGAGAAAAAGAAACCCACGGACAAGCAGACCUCUGGCAGUGCCCGAAAGAAGGCCCUGAAGAGCCCAGCCCCGGCCCCGUCGUCGUCGGCCCCCACGGAGCCCUCUGAGGACUCGCGACGGC
ensembl:lncRNA